rnacentral:rRNA from 1 species
UACGUAGGGGGCUAGCGUUGUCCGGAAUCAUUGGGCGUAAAGAGCGCGCAGGCGGUCGUUCAAGUCGCGUGUGAAAGCCCCCGGCUCAACUGGGGAGGGUCACGCGAUACUGAUCGACUGGAAGGCAGGAGAGGGUAGUGGAAUUCCCGGUGUAGUGGUGAAAUGCGUAGAUAUCGGGAGGAACACCAGUGGCGAAGGCGACUACCUGGCCUGUUCUUGACGCUGAGGCGCGAAAGCUAGGGGAGCAAACGGG